CUUUGACUUGCCUGUAUUACCAGCACACAAGCAGUUCUCUAAGAGUGAGAAAAUGCUCCAAACAUUACUGAUUCGGGGGAGAAACUACAGAUGUGAAAAUUCCCUAUAGGAGUUUUUCUUGGUCUUCCAGAUUUUAUCUUGACUUGACUCUCCUAAACUGCCAUUUCCCUUCAGUUUACACUGUAUAAAUUGCAAGCCCUUUUUUUAAAAUAACACACUCAUGUUUUGUGGGCAUUAAUUACUUAAGGCAUUGAGUUUUUUAGUUCCUUAGACAGUUGUUUAGAGGAACUCAUGUUUGAAGAGUGUACAAGGUUUGAAGAACUCUUUAUUGGUUUUGGCAACAUACUGUACAUGCCUUCUUUCUCAAACACACACAUCUUGUGUCCCAGUAGAAGUCUCUACUGUAAUUUAGAGUGAUACUAAAAAUGAACAUUCUUUUUUCAAGACUGGAUUUCAUUCCCAUAUUUGCUAAACGGCACAUAACCCAGCCCACUAUAUAUACAUGUGGGUGUGUUUUAGUCUUAAGGUAACAGCAUGAAAGAGAGGACACACACACAAAUAUAUAGGUUAUGCAUAUUUUUCUAACAUGAACUUUAAGUCAGACACUGCAGAGAGGAUACCUACACAGUGAUAUGACUAUGAAGAUGAAGCAUUAAGGAGUAGGGCGGAGAUAUUAACUUCCAUCACUGGAACUUUGAUUGUUUCUGGGGAUUAGAUCAAUCAGUUUUUCUUCUUAUUUUCUUCUUAUGCACCAUCACACUGGUUUUGGUGUGAGUGUGUAUGUUGUGCUCGUGAAAGAUGCUAAAUUUGACUGUCCUGCUGCUCAGCUUUGGGCUCCUGAACUUCUCAACACCAAUGCACCAUGAUCAUCAUAGGCUGCACUUUCAGCAAUCCAUGUCCUCAGAGAGCAGUGAUUCCAUGGAAAGUGCUGAAACAGAUCAACAGGUCACCCCUACAUCUCAUGCUCCAGGAAGUGACAUCAUAAUCAGAGCACCUGCAGACUUCGGGCAGCCCAAUGAGAAUGGCACCAGUGCCGUGACCGUCAGCUUACGGGAUGAAAACACCAACGUCUCUUUGGAUGUUCUGACCUUCAUCUUCAACACGGAGGAUGACGCCGGUAGGAGCAGUGCGGCUGGAGAAAGCAGCGGAUUUGGCGAUGAAGGAAUGCAGGCUGAUGAACCUUCAAUCACUCAAAGAGAUAUAACUGAUGAUAAAAGCUUGGAUGAUGUUGUUAAAGCAAACAAAAACCUAAAAGAUGAUGUGCCAGAAUCAAUUGAUAUUUUAAAUGAAGGAGGCUACCAAACACCAGAUUCACCAAUUGGUGACAAAAGCAACAGUACUUCUGGAAAUGACAUUGCAAACCAACAAACAAUUGAUUUUAAUAGUGAUGAAGCUCUGCAAAGUAAAGUGGAUGACCUCAAAAAUGAUAUCCAAGCGGAUGAGGCAUUUAUAGCAUCACUAGAUGUUGCUAAAUCCAUUGAAGAAAGCACCAGUGAGGGAAAGCAAGCUAGUACACAUCCUGAAACUGUGUACUCUACUGACCAUGGAUUGGGCUCAAAUUCAGAGGAGACUGGCCAAAUCAAGUCUCAAGUUGAAUCUCACAAGUCAAACCAUGGCACAAAUCCUUUAAACACACAUGAUUCUGGAUCAGAAAGCCAACCUACACACCUUCCUGAGGGCGAGACAAUGAGUGAAUCCCUGGAUGACCCUCAGUCCCAAAGUAAGGAGCUUUCCAUUACCCUUACUACUGUCUUUCGCUACUUGCUUGGAGAUCUUAUUGGUCUAAGAUCAGUUCCUGCUCCUCUCAAACCACAAUCCAUAGGAGCGUUGAUGACCAGCAUGGAGGAAACUACUUCAACAGAAGCAAAGGAAAAAGGAACUGACCCUGGAUUAUAUUUAUCCUCUAAAGAUAAGCACAAGGUUCGCACAAACUCUGGUCCAACCAUAAGUCCUUGGUUGUUUAAUGAAGUCUCUCCACUCAUCUACAGCUCUGAAGAACAAGAAGAUCAUGAUGUGUUCUUGGGCACUGAUGCAACACUUAGCAGCCCAGUGCCUAGUCAAGAACCGUUGCCAAAUCCACAGAAUGCCAAGAAGGAUUCUCCAAAGUCUUUCUCUUCUGGUCCAGUGUAUGUUAACGAUGGCUGGCCUGCUGUUGACUACUCCAACUCUUUAAACGAUUUUAGACAUUACCAUAAGUAUGGCUACAAACCUGAAUACAGGAAUGGGCAAUGGGAAAAUCAUGAGGACACUGACACAAAUACGUAUCAUGAAACUGCAGAACAUGAUACAGCUUAUGAAAACACCCCAGCAUACUCAUUGGAAGCAGCAGAGAUCCAGAGCUUUCCUACAGAAGACCCAAAAACCCAGGAUAACUUGCACAACAAAGACCACCCUGAGUUCACCCCAGAUUUUGCUGCAUCCAGGGAAGAUGUUAUUUCCAGCUCCAGUGAGAUUAGCAAGGAAACAACCAGAUUCCAGAUUCCAAGAGCUACAGAUGUGCCCCCUACUGAUGCUGCGCCAGUCAUGUCCAACAGUCUAGAGAGUACAGAAACCACUGUAGGUCCUGAUAAUGAGAAAGACGCUUUGACAGUAAGCUCAAGUAGUGAGGAACUUGAGCCUUUAGUAGACUCUAAAGAACAAAGUUUAGCAACAGUAGGGUCAAACAGUCAGGAGAUUCAAACCCAGACAGAUACUCCUGACUGGCUAGAAAAGGGAUUAAUUCAUGACUCAGGUGUUCAACAAUUGGAGCUUCCUCAUAUUUCUGUGGUGCAGCUAAGUCAUCACCUUCAAAAGCAAGGCAAAGAAGAAUCUUCAUUAUUUGUAGAUCUCACACCUGAAUCAAGCUCUAAAGAAGAGCUGGAUCAAGUUUCCAGUACUGAUGCACCAGGUUUGAUCUUCUCCAUUCUGCCACCCAUGUCCAGCGAGGAGCAGGUAUCUUCAGCUAUCAUUAGCAGAAGUACAUCCCAACCUCUCCUACGUCCUGUAGACAACAGUGAAUCCAAUGAAGAGGAUGUCAAUGCAAGCUUAAACCAUGUUCGUCUCCAACCAGCCCCUUUAGGCAACUUCAGCUCUGAAAACGACCAGAAUGAAGAAUCGUUUUCAAAUGAAUCCUCAACUGACAGCCCAGCCAUCAGUGCGGAGUCGCCUUCUCAAUCCACACUGAGACAUGAAUCGUUUUUACUGCAAUACAUCACACAACAUCCAGAGUCAGCCUUCGCAAAUGACUUGAUUGUAAGUGAUGAGGACCUAUCCAGUGAGAUUAGCACACCAAAUCCAAGCAUAGUGCCGGAGAUCACAUCUCAAACUAAUGUUGCCAAAACAAGGAGCGAGGAGUCAGAGGAAUCCCAAGAACCUUCCUUGUUUACACUCCGUCCUCCUGUAGCUAUUAACCCUAGCCAAGCUCCAAACACUAAAAAGAGCAGUGAAGAAAAAGUGAAGAUGGACCGUGUAGCAAACGAUCAUUUACGUAGUAACCUCAUGCCUACAGCAACGAGUCCCAAAGAAGAGGAAGCCAAUCCUUGGGCAACUUUUCUUCAAUCCUUGAAAGCACACAUGACCCCUUGGCGAGCAGAGCAUGGUGAACAGAAGGUGCAGAGACCAUGGAAUAAGUAUGGUAACAGACGCCAUAGCGGUCAACAUAUUCGUAGCAAUAAAGGACAGAAAGCCAGUAGCAGCGAAGAGAGCAAAUGAAGUCAUUGUGCUUAUUUUAACACCUUACUGUUAAAGACUGUACAAUCAGGAAUUGCUGUGAAUGGAAGGUUAAAUUUGCAGCACUGUAGCAGCAGUCAUUUGCAUAAAAAACAAAAAUCUACAUUCCUAACUACAUCUCAUAUACAGUCAAACGUCACAAGACACCCUUUUAUUUCAGACACGAAAUAUGGUGGCUUUCAAGAUGGUAUAGCCUAAAAGAUAGGAUUGCUCACCCAUUACUUGCUGGGGUAUUCAGAUAUGUAAUUUUCCCUUUCGCUUUCCGUUUGCUUUUGAAAUAAAUGGGUGUCCUGUUCCA
ensembl:lncRNA